AUUGAACGCUGGCGGCAGGCCUAACACAUGCAAGUCGAACGAGUGGCGGACGGGUGAGUAAUGUCUGUGAAACUGCCUGAUGGAGGGGGAUAACUACUGGAAACGGUAGCUAAUACCGCAUACCAUCGGAUGUGCCUAGAUCUGAGUAGCUAGUAGGUGGGGUAAAGGCUCACCUGGGCGACGAUCCCUAGCUGGUCUGAGAGGAUGACCGGCAACACGGGAACUGAGACACGGUCAAGACUCCAACGGGAGGCAGAAGUGGGGAAUAUUGCACAAUGGGCGCAAGCCUGAUGAAGACAUGCCGCGUGUAUGAAGAAGGCCUUCGGGUUGUAAAGUACUUUCAGCGGGGAGGCGUUACCCGAAGAAGAAGCACCGGCUAACUCCGUGCCAGCAGCCGCGGUAAUUC
rnacentral:rRNA from 1 species